GUGUUGUAUGAAAGGAGAGAUGGUUAGCGCUCCACUUGAAAUGGCGGGAGUGUGCUCUUUGCACAGGAGUUCCUGAUUAGAGACGCUUGUUUAGUGCACUAUAUAGUGCAUUCACUAUUUUGU
ensembl:snRNA U6atac minor spliceosomal RNA